GACGAACGCUGGCGGCGUGCUUAACACAUGCAAGUCGAACGGAAAGGCCCUGCUUGCGGGGUACUCGAGUGGCGAACGGGUGAGUAACACGUGGGUGAUCUGCCCUGCACUUCGGGAUAGGCCUGGGAAACUGGGUCUAAUACCGGAUAGAAGCCAUUUUUAGUGUGAUGGUUGGAAAGUUUUUUCGGUGUAGGAUGAGCUCGCGGCCUAUCAGCUUGUUGGUGGGGUAAUGGCCUACCAAGGCGGCGACGGGUAGCCGGCCUGAGAGGGUGGACGGCCACAUUGGGACUGAGAUACGGCCCAGACUCCGACGGGAGGCAGCAGUGGGGAAGAUUGCACAAUGGGCGCAAGCCUGAUGCAGCGACGCCGCGUGGGGGAUGACGGCCUUCGGGUUGUAAACUCCUUUCGCUAGGGACGAAGCUUUUUGUGACGGUACCUAGAUAAGAAGCACCGGCUAACUACGUG
rnacentral:rRNA from 1 species